rnacentral:sRNA from 1 species
GUCCAUAUCAAUGUCCAUAUCAAUUUCCCAUGUUCCAUUACAUAUCCCGUGUUCUUUCCUUCUUCCAGCUUUUACAUGCUAGCCUUUUAUACAAUGAUUCCUCUCAUCUCGACUCGUUUGAUGAAUGGGCGUUUAGUUUUUGCAACAACAUAUGCGUUGGGUUAUCUCAUAUCGGGAAACACUUUCUGCCACUUUUAACUUGAACAAAGUUGGAGAAAUAAAGUGAUGGCAGAUAUUGCAAGUUGUUUAUAGUGUGCCUGUAGAAAUGUAAAAACGCUAUGUUUCGUGAAUGCCCAGCCUGUAAAUCGAAAUAAGAUUUCGUAUUUAUUAAGCAUUGGAAGAUCACAAUUGUGACUUUGUGGGUUUCGUAAAGAACAUCAUAUAGAUUUCUUUGACCAAGUGUAAUAAAGCAAAACACACGGACAUAGUAUGGAUAUGGACACAGCAUGGGUAUGGACACAAGCAACACUACCAGUCGUUUGAAACGAUGAAAUGGGCAACAAGUCGAUUUGUUUUUCAUCUAUCAAUCGUUGUAAUUCACAUGCAGCUACAAGACGACACGUUAUAUUUAGGGUGCAAAGCAGGUAGAGAUUUCAUAGGCAUAUUUCGAAGUACCAGCUUUAUGCCAAAACAUGCAUGCAUGCAAGAAACUCCAUAACUUCGUUUGCGCAACUCCUGCUUAUCGUCUUCUUUCUAUACCCAUACUGNUGGAUCNAUGAAUGAACGUAGCAAUAGAUACAAGAUAUAGCGCCACACUUUUGAGCAUAUCCU